GACGAACGCUGGCGGCGUGCUUAACACAUGCAAGUCGAACGGAAAGGCCCCUUUUGGGGGGUACUCGCGUGGCGCGGGGGUGUGUAACACGUGAGUAACCUCCCCCCGACUUUGGGAUAUCUUCCGGAGACAGGGGCUAAUAUCGGAUAGGAGCCCCCGCCGCCGGGUGGGGGUUGGAAAGUUUCGGCGGUUGGGGAUGGGCUCGCGGCUUAUCAGCUUGUUGGUGGGGUAGUGGCCUACCAAGGCUUUGACGGGUAGCCGGCCUGGGAGGGUGACCGGCCACAUUGGGACUGAGAUACGGCCCAGACUCCUACGGGAGGCAGCAGGGGGGAAUAUUGCACAAUGGGUGGAAGCCUGAUGCAGCAACGCCGGGUGCGGGAUGACGGCCUUCGGGUUGUAAACCCCUUUCGCUCAGGACGAAGCCUUGUGUGACGGUACCGGGAGAAGAAGCACCGGCUAACUACGUG
rnacentral:rRNA from 1 species